UACGAAGGGUGCAAGCGUUACUCGGAAUUACUGGGCGUAAAGCGUGCGUAGGUGGUGGGUUAAGUCUGUCGUGAAAGCCCCGGGCUCAACCUGGGAAUGGCGAUGGAUACUGGCUCGCUAGAGUGCGGUAGAGGAGAGUGGAAUUCCCGGUGUAGCAGUGAAAUGCGCAGAGAUCGGGGAGGAACAUCAGUUGCGAAGGCGGCUCUCUGGACCAGCACUGACACUGAGGCACGAAAGCGUGGGGAGCAAACAGG
rnacentral:rRNA from 1 species